GAUGAACGCUGGCGGCGUGCCUAAUACAUGCAAGUCGAGCGAACGGACGAGAAGCUUGCUUCUCUGAUGUUAGCGGCGGACGGGUGAGUAACACGUGGAUAACCUACCUAUAAGACUGGGAUAACUUCGGGAAACCGUAGCUAAUACCGGAUAAUAUUUUGAACCGCAUGGUUCAAAAGUGAAAGACGGUCUUGCUGUCACUUAUAGAUGGAUCCGCGCUGCAUUAGCUAGUUGGUAAGGUAACGGCUUACCAAGGCAACGAUGCAUAGCCGACCUGAGAGGGUGAUCGGCCACACUGGAACUGAGACACGGUCCAGACUCCUACGGGAGGCAGCAGUAGGGAAUCUUCCGCAAUGGGCGAAAGCCUGACGGAGCGACGCCGCGUGAGUGAUGAAGGUCUUCGGAUCGUAAAACUCUGUUAUUAGGGAAGAACAUAUGUGUAAGUAACUGUGCACAUCUUGACGGUACCUAAUCAGAAAGCCACGGCUAACUACGUGCCAGCAGCCGCGGUAAUACGUAGGUGGCAAGCGUUAUCCGGAAUUAUUGGGCGUAAAGCGCGCGUAGGCGGUUUUUUAGUCUGAUGUGAAAGCCCACGGCUCAACCCGUGGAGGGUCAUUGGAAACUGGAAAACUUGAGUGCAGAAGAGGAAAGUGGAAUUCCAUGUGUAGCGGUGAAAUGCGCAGAGAUAUGGAGGAACACCAGUGGCGAAGGCGACUUUCUGGUCUGUAACUGACGCUGAUGUGCGAAAGCGUGGGGAUCAAACAGGAUUAGAUACCCUGGUAGUCCACGCCGUAAACGAUGAGUGCUAAGUGUUAGGGGGUUUCCGCCCCUUAGUGCUGCAGCUAACGCAUUAAGCACUCCGCCUGGGGAGUACGACCGCAAGGUUGAAACUCAAAGGAAUUGACGGGGACCCGCACAAGCGGUGGAGCAUGUGGUUUAAUUCGAAGCAACGCGAAGAACCUUACCAAAUCUUGACAUCCUUUGACAACUCUAGAGAUAGAGCCUUCCCCUUCGGGGGACAAAGUGACAGGUGGUGCAUGGUUGUCGUCAGCUCGUGUCGUGAGAUGUUGGGUUAAGUCCCGCAACGAGCGCAACCCUUAAGCUUAGUUGCCAUCAUUAAGUUGGGCACUCUAAGUUGACUGCCGGUGACAAACCGGAGGAAGGUGGGGAUGACGUCAAAUCAUCAUGCCCCUUAUGAUUUGGGCUACACACGUGCUACAAUGGACAAUACAAAGGGCAGCGAAACCGCGAGGUCAAGCAAAUCCCAUAAAGUUGUUCUCAGUUCGGAUUGUAGUCUGCAACUCGACUACAUGAAGCUGGAAUCGCUAGUAAUCGUAGAUCAGCAUGCUACGGUGAAUACGUUCCCGGGUCU
rnacentral:rRNA from 1 species